AGACCUGCACAACAUGCACUGUGAGAACCUGUGCUGUAGAUGAAUGACAGUAAAUACAGAAACAGCAGUGCCUAAGGGGAAAACCCUCUGUCCAGCUACUAAGCCAAUAGAAUAUUUACUUUCUUACAACACUUUUGUCUUGAGAAAAUACCUGAUGGUAAACAAGGGUUGUGUUAUAAAGACAUCAAAUUGUUCAGAAUGAAAGUAUUACAUUGUUAUUACACUAUAGAUGGGUGUGUAAAUGAGUUAAUCCUGCAAGCUUGAGCCAAAGAGUGCAACACCCUUGUGUGACUGACAAUAAAAUAUAUCAAUCCAUUCAUCUAUACGUAAACUUAAUCUAUGCAGGACGGACAAAGGAUUACAAUAUCCCAGCAUCGACAAUCUGUCUUGAAGUCACUGUCAAAGGAUUCUAGUUGGAUGUGAUUCAAACAUUGAUUUGCUGGUUCUGAAUUUCUGCUUAUGAAUUCAAAUCAGGGACAGUUCAAGAGAAGAAGAAGCCGGCUUCGUGCAAGCCCCCUCCUCACCAGUAGAAGCCAGAGUCUACUGUGCAUGCGCAGUACGGAGGAGAGCGGUAACGGCACACAGUACAGCGACUUCCGCUGGAGGACGCGGCCCAAUGACGUCACCGGCGCAUCAAAGCCGCGUUCCAGCAACACGAGCACCGGGACGGAUGCGGGAAGCAGAAGCUCAGUGGAAUGGAUUCAGCAGUUUUUACAGAUUAACUAAGAAUACACUGAAGAUGGAGAGGCCUCUGAUGUGUCUGCCAUGGUAAAACAGGAGGCGUGUGGAAUCAAUUGAGACAAAGUGGCUUCAUGCCCUGAUUUGAAUUUGAUAGAAGAUUCGGUAUAGAGAAGCUUGGCCCUUGUGCCUUUAUCCUUUGUCUAUGCAUAAACUGCUGAAUGUAUUUGUUUUCCUUAGGGCUUAACCUAUGUAUCCCAGAUGGCGAUGUUUCUCCAGCACAUAUGGUGAAGCAAGGCGCAUGUUCAUGGAAGCAUGAUGUUUGCAUUGUUGCAUGAAAAAAAUGCCGCUAUAGGGUCGCUGACACAUCUCAACUGAACUGACAGCUGAAAUAAUGAAACUCAGGGCCUUCGUCCUUCUUCAGCUCAUCUACAUUGUAGCAUAGAACGUCAUCAAUUUAUACACAGCAACCAUAGAUCAUUUCUCAACAAGCAUUCAGUAUGAGACGAUGGUCUUCUGUUUAUUGUUAUAUAUUUAGAGUAUUGUGCCCUGUGUUAUUUAUAUAGGUAUAUUAGUAUGCCUCAUAAAUAACCAUCCAGGUAGAAAUAAUGACAUAAAAAAACUUGAAACAGGAAAAGGUUUAUUCCUCCUUGAAUUAAACGUCAACACUCUGAGGGGGCUUUAAAAAAAUGUUUGUUUUUUUAAAUUGUAUCUCAUAGAAAAAGUUAUUACAAUAAAGUAAUCACAUUCUACAUGUAAAGACUCUACUGCAGCAUAGAAAACAGAAUGUUGCAUUUGUUGCUAUAGUUACAGCAACUGUUUGGUCAUCACUACUUCUCAUUAAUCCCCCCCUAAGAGCAACAUGGUACCUUCUGUUCUUAUGCACAAAGGACACACUCUGGUCCUAUGAAAUGUUUACAAAGGUCCAUAAACUAAUCUGUUUUGGCGUAAUAAUCCAUUUUGUUUUACUUGAAUUUUAAGUC